AUUGAACGCUGGCGGCAGGCUUAACACAUGCAAGUCGAGCGGGGGAAGGUAGCUUGCUACCGGACCUAGCGGCGGACGGGUGAGUAAUGCUUAGGAAUCUGCCAAUUAGUGGGGGACAACAUCUCGAAAGGGAUGCUAAUACCGCAUACGUCCUAUGGGAGAAAGCAGGGGAUCUUCGGACCUUGCGCUAAUAGAUGAGCCUAAGUCGGAUUAGCUAGUUGGUGGGGUAAGGGCCUACCAAGGCGACGAUCUGUAGCGGGUCUGAGAGGAUGAUCCGCCACACUGGGACUGAGACACGGCCCAGACUCCUACGGGAGGCAGCAGUGGGGAAUAUUGGACAAUGGGGGGAACCCUGAUCCAGCCAUGCCGCGUGUGUGAAGAAGGCCUUAUGGUUGUAAAGCACUUUAAGCGAGGAGGAGGCUACUUUAGUUAAUACCUAGAGAUAGUGGACGUUACUCGCAGAAUAAGCACCGGCUAACUCUGUGCCAGCCGCCGCGGUAAAAC
rnacentral:rRNA from 1 species